CUGGUUCUUUGAAACUAAGAAUAAACACAAAACUUUGUUAGAAUUUAUUAAAGAAGCAAAAAGAUUUUAAAAUCCUUAUAAUGGAUUGUAAAGAAUAGUAUUUAAAUUACAUUUCAAAUUCUUAGCUAAGUAACAAGAGAAUCACUGGGACUUUGCAACUCUUCAUAAUUUUCUCACAAAAUCAGAGCAAUUGAGAUGGCUCAGUACUUUCAAGGAAAUGCUGGAACAAUGUAUUAGGCGAACUGCUUUUUUUCCUUUUUUUUUGGUCUUUUGCUAUUUUAUAGUUUGCUUAAGAAACUUAAGAACAAGUGACUGGGGCCGGGCGCAGUGGCUCACCCCUGUAAUCCCAGCACUUUGGGAGGCCGAGGGGGGUGGAUCACGAGGUCAGGAGAUCAAAACCAUCCUGGCUAACACGGUGAAACCCUGUAUCUACUAAAAAUACAAAAAAUUAGCCAGGUGUGGUGGCGGGUGCCUGUAGUCCCAGCUACUCGGGAGGCUGAGGCAGGAGAAUGGCGUGAACCCGGGAGGCGGAGCUUGCAGUGAGCCGAGACCGCGCCACUGCACUCCAGCCUGGGCGACAGAGCGAGACUCCAUCUCAAAAAACGCGUACAGCAAAAAAGGGUGCCGUUACAUAGGUCAUUGGAUGCUAUCACUGGAAUGUCUGUUGAGAAAUAAACGUUUUACCAUCUGUAGACACAUGAGGGCGCUUUAAGCAGGCAGCGUGGGAUGCAGCGUGCAAAGGGAGGGAGGGAGGAAGAAAGCUUUGUCAAAGGUAGCCUGAAAUUCAGGCAUCUCCCUAUCUGGUUGCGGACCUGUGCCUGCGUCGGGGUGGGGAGCACCGAAUCGAUUUAGGAAAAGAACUGCGCAGGCCCUUGAUCCCCACUUCUCAUGGUGAAAUCAAGUUUGAGGUUCAAAUCAAGGCUUUCAGAGAGUCAGAAUUUCCAAAUCUGUUACUUUGUCAAAAAACUGCUUUUAAUCUGGUAACGUUUCCCAUUAACCUCAUUUGAUGUCCUUCCCUAAGAAUGUUUAAUUAGAAUCUCCUUUUCUGAUGCCAGCAGAAUUGAACUGCUUGUGAACUGAGCUUUAAAUUGGACAUGUUGUGUUUCUAGUCCUCCACUGAGGGUGAAUUUUGCAGCAAUUUGCGUUUAACUUUCUGUGUCUUGCUGCAUUAAGCACUUCUAGAAUAGGAUCAACAGGACAGAGCUGGAGUAUGCAGAGAUUCUCAAAAGAAAUGUAAAUUUGGAAUGUAAUUGGGAACCCAACAGGGAGGUGUGGAUUUCACGGAUGAAGUCUUGGUGGAAGAUCUAAGUGCCACAAUGUGAGUUUGAAGUUAUUCCAUCUUCAUAAGGAUUAAACUAUUUUAACCUCUACUAGGCAAAUGUUUAAGAGAAUAAUCUGACUACUGUGCAUUAAGUAGAGAGAUUAGAGUUUAAAACACUUUAAAUGAAUGGCAGAAUAGGACUCAGUUCUCUAGGAUCACACCAAUAGUUCCACCAGACAGAUGAAGAUAUGUAAUACAGUGUUUAAGCGGCCUGACAUUGGCACUAAAAUAUUGAAAUUACUGUUUCAAAAAUGCAAACUAAUAAAUGCUUACAUGCCCAGGGUCUAUAAGAAAGGCAAAAACCAGCCAGGCGAGGUGGCUCAUGCCUGUAAUUCUAACACUUUGGGAGGCCAAAGCAGGAAGAUCACUUGAGCUCCGGAGUUCGAGACCAGUCUGGGCACCAUAGUGAGACCUCGUUUCUACUAAAAAUUUAAAAAGUAGCUGGGACGUUGUGGUGCACACCUGUAGUCCUCGCAACUUGGGAGGCUGAGGAUGGCUUGAGCCCAGGAGUUCAAGGCUAUAGUGAGCCAUGAUCAUGCACUCCAGCCUAGGUGAUAGAGCAAGACCCUGUCUCAAAAACAUGCACUCCAGCCUAGGUGAUAGAGCAAGACCCUGUCUCAAAAAAAAAAAAAAAAAGGAAAAAAUAUUGGAAAAAAUGUGAUCAGGUCUGAGCACUUUUUAGCAUUCUUUUGUUUCUUUUCAGUGACAUGGGAGUGUUUGCUCUGUGCUCAGGAAUGUGUUUGGGCUUUCUUAACCCUAAGGGAGUGAGUCGAGGUCAAGAGUGGUUGGGUUCAACUCUGACAAAGGCAGGUGAACUCCUGACCUGGCAAAUUCAUUUUUUUCCCUGUUCCAAGAAUUACUUGACUCAUCUUUAAAGCGGUCACAUUUACACUGACAUUUUUCAGUGGUGAGCAAAAUCUUGCUACAUAAAAAACUGUGCAAAAUCCUUCCGUCUUGUAAUAUAUGAAUUCAGGGCCUCAGAUGGGGUAAACAGGGCCUACAGUGCCGAACAUUUAUCUUUCUUAUUUGAACGAACAACUCUUCCUUCCUUCCUGGAAUGUGACUUAACGUUAAGAAUUUCUAUUAAAUCUCUGGGUACACCCAGAGACCUCAGAAAGCUCUCUACAGAGAGAGCAAACAUCCUCCUGUACUUGGCAAAAGAAGAAACAGAUGCUUGCGUGGCUUGCAGGCUCAGCUGCUCAGGGCCGCUCUGUGGAAGAGAACCAGUGAACCUGGGUUGCCAGAAAAAAUGUUAAUGUUGAGUUGAGAAUAAGCAUUUGCACUUGUGAGUAGUCAACAGAUAUGUAGGACAUGUGAGUGCAACGGAAGCGGCACCCAAACUGGACUGCCCUGUAGUCAAAGUUAGGGGAACUGGGGCUAUUUUGGGUUUGGGCCAUUGGGUAUCCAUUUUCCCUUUCUGAGAAGUACCCCUUCUCCAUCUAGCUCAGGAACUCUGGGAAGAUGGCCACACCCAGGCUCCAGGGGUGGGCUCUAAUUAGUCUAUGCAAAUUAGUUCAUCCCAUUCACUUCUCUCCCCCCUUUCAUGAUUGGUUUAAGAGACAGGCCUACCAGCAAUGGUAUGCAAGACCUUUGCUGGGAUUUCUGAGAAAGACACUUGCUCUGUGUAGAAGCUACUAGGAUAACUUCUCUCCUCUGGACAGUGUGGAAAAUAGACUUGAGUCUUAAGAGCAUGGUGGCCCUUUGCCACAAUUCUGAAUGCAAUGUCAACCCAAGGAGGAAAGGAGAGCUAAGAUAAUUAAGAGAUGGGAGCUGGCCGGGUACGGUGGCUCAUGCCUGUAAUUCCGGCAGUUUCGGAGGCCAAAGCAGGUGGAUCACCUGAGGUCAGGGGUUUGAGACCAGCCUGGACAACAUGGUGAAAUCCUGUCUGUACUAAUAAUAUAAAAAUUAGCAGGGCGUGGUGGCACAUGCCUGUAAUCCCAGCUACUCGGAAGGCCGGGCAGGAGAAUGGCUUGAACCCAGGAGGCGGAGGUUGCAGUGAGCCGAGAUCAUGCCAUUGCACUCCACCUGGGUGACAAAGCAAGACUGUCUCAAAAAAAGAAAAAGAAAAAAGAAAAAAAAAAAAGAGAUGGGAGCUGAAAUCCUGAUCAAAUUGGACCAACUGGACUUUUCACUCACUGAACCAAUAAAUUCUUAUUGUUGAAGCUAGGCUCAGCUGAGGUUUGUAGUACUUGCAACCAAUGUUUCCAACUGCCCAACUGCCACAUGGUGUGUCUAAGAUGAUCAGGGUGCAUAUCCAUCUAUUUGUGUAAUCUAAUUGAAAGGGCAUAUAUAUAUUUUCCUGAAAGAGUACUUGUCUCAACAGAAACAGUAUUUAUUGUACACAGCUUUGCACCACAACCUCUAGUCUCUAAAGUUUUUUUUGAAAGCACUAAACAGUACAUUCAAUAACUAGGUGGGUAUCAAUAAAAGAAACUAGCCAGGUGUCAAAUGCAGCAUAUUUUAAUUUGUUUCAAAUAAAGCAAUAUAUGUAUAUAUAUUUUUUCAGAAAAACACCAGAUGUUAAAUUCUACAAAAGCGCAUGUGUCCUCAGCAGAUCAUGUUUAGCUGAUUAUUAGAAUUAGUAAAAA
rnacentral:lncRNA from 1 species